rnacentral:lncRNA from 1 species
GGCGCCGACGGGCCGCGCGGGGAGGAGCUGGCGGGGCCGCGCGGGCUCACUCACGGGCGGGCCGGGGCUCGUCGGGGCGCCCCCCGGGGCGGCGGCGGCGGCGGCGGCGGCGGCGGAGCGGGAGCCCGAGCCCGAGCCCGAGCGGCGCGGGCGGCGGCGCAUCGAUGCGCUGCGGGCUCGAUUGCGUCUCCCUGGGCCAGCUCCUGGGCCGGGAAUGGGGCGGCCGCGGCGGGGCUGGCUCGGGGCGCUGCCGGGCGGCGCUGGCGGGGCUGCGGGGGCGGCCGCCGGGCCGCGGUCCGGGGGGCGGGGGGGGCUGCUCCCGCGCGCUCCGGCGGGGCCGGGGGGGCUGCCCUGGACCCCGCGCCCCGCAGUCCCGGCGAGGGCCGGCCGGAGCCCCGCGCCCUGGGACUGGCUGCCGGCGCGCUCCCGGAGCUGCAAGCCCCGGCCUCCUUCCUUUUUCCUUUUUCCCCUUCCUUCCUCCUUCCUCCUCCCCCCCGUUUUUUUUCUUUUUUUUUUUUAGUUUCCUUUUCUUGCGUUUCUUUCCCCGUCUUCCUCGGCCCCCCUCGCCGUCCCUUUUCCUUUGUGGCUGUCUGUGCAAGUUUGUUUCAAAAGUUCACGGGCACCUUUCACGCUUUCUUUUCUUCUAGACCCGGGAGACCGCGGUCUCACCCAGACGGCAGGAUCGCUCGGCCCCGCUCGCCCCCACCCGCGGGCCUGCGCUCGGGCCACCCGCCUCCCGGUGCAGAUGCGCGGCGGCCGGCCUCCCGCCUCGGGCCGUAAGGGCGCGCGCAGGGGCGCUCGGAGCUGCGGGGUGCGGGGUGCGGGCCCCGCGCGGCGGCGGGGGAGGCGGAGGCGGCGGCGGGCUGCGGGGGGCGGCGGGGGGGGGGCGCGGCGAGCGGCGGCGGGAGCCGCUGCCCCCCUCCAGGCCCCGGAGACGCGGCCGCGGGGCGUGAAACGCUUCUUGCGAACGAGGAAACGGCUCGCUCUGGCUCUCCACCAGCGGCGCCCCCUUCUGCUCCAUCUCUGCAGCCAGGAGCACAGCGUGCAAGGGAGACGUGCUGAUCCAGGGUCUGGAUUGUCAGCGUGGAUGAUUAAAUACCUACUGAGCACAGGACACAGAGCCGGUCGAGACAGACGCUGGCGUGCACGCCCCUCACUGCCACGCUGUGCAUCGUGGGGUGUCAGGAAGAGGUCAGAUGUGAAUGUGGUCUUUGGAGAAAGGAUCCCCAGGCUAGGGUCCUGCGGGUCGAGGGACACCCUGUGGUCCAGGCAGCCUCAGUGGCUCAGAGUCGACACAUUUCCGUGUGGUCCUUGGCCUGGCCUGCAUGUGAUUGGGCGGAUGUCCCAAGGAGCUGAGUGUUGCCCGAACCCAGCUGUCUCGACGCUCCUGUGGGUAAGGGGCGUCCUGACCAUGUCUGUCUGA